GAUGAACGCUGGCGGCGUGCCUAAUACAUGCAAGUCGAGCGAACAGAUGAGGAUCUUGCUCCUCUGACGUUAGCGGCGGACGUGUGAGUAACACGUGGAUAACCUACCUAUAAGACUGGGAUAACUUCGGGAAACCGGAUCUAAUACCGUAUAAUAUAUUGAACCGCAUUGUUCGAUAGUGAAAUACGGUUUUGCUGUCACUUAUAGAUGGAUCCGCGCCGCAUUAGCUAGUUGGUAAGGUAACGGCUUACCAAGGCAACGAGGCGUAGCCGACCUGAGAGGGUGAUCGGCCACACUGGAACUGAGACACGGUCCAGACUACUACGGGAGGCAGCAGUAGGGAAUCUUCCGCAAUGGGCGAAAGCCUGACGGAGCAACGCCGAGUGAGUGAUGAAGGUCUUCGGAUCGUAAAACUCUGUUAUUAGGGAAGAACAAAUGUGUAAGUAAAUAUGCACGUAUUGACGGUAACUAAUAAGAAAGCCACGGCUAACUACGUG
rnacentral:rRNA from 1 species